rnacentral:lncRNA from 1 species
AUCUUGAAAAUGCCUCGUGUGGCUUCCACAAAAAUAUGAAGCUGUUUUCACUAUUGAUAAUAGGUGAACUAUCCCAUUAAGUAUUUUUCUAUUGUUUUACAGUUUUCCCCUGCAGACAUGUCAGAGUUUAAAGUGGGUGCAGAUAUAGAGGCAGCUUCCUCAGAUCCAGGUCAACAGCAGAGCACCAUUCCCUGUGUGAGUGAAGAGGAACUGGCCAAGUUUGUGUCUCUGACGCCUCUGUCCAAAACACUGCAGGAGAUAAAGGAAUCACUCCAGAUUCUCGCCCACACGCCCAAGACAGAGGACGUUAUUAUCAUCCCAGCAGAGAGUGAACUGUCGCACCUGUUCCCUGUUGCCCUUGACAACCUUUCCCCACAGCAUUUUGCUGUCUUCCUGUUUGGCUACCAUGUUGUGCAUUUUCUGAGCAGAGCUUGUUCCUUCCCCCCGUCAUGCUGCAAUUGGCCAGGACGGUGCCAGCCUCUCACUGUGAUAACCUGCUGGCCUGCUGCCAUAAAGACUUUUAUUACUACACAGAAGCUUCAAAACGCUGGCCAGUUCUUCUCCGUUCUCUUACACUCAAUGACCUAUAUAACCUCAGGUGCUGUGUGUGGAAAGAGAAAUAAACAGACUUGA